rnacentral:misc_RNA from 1 species
GAUGAAGAACGUAGCGAAAUGCGAUAACUAAUGUGAAUUGCAGAAUUCCGUGAAUCAUCGAGUCUUUGAACGCACAUUGCGCCCCCUGGUAUUCCGGGGGGCAUGCCUGUCCGAGCGUCAUUGCUGCCCAUCAAGCACGGCUUGUGUGUUGGGUCCCGUCCCCCUCUCCCGGGGGACGGACCCGAAAGGCAGCGGCGGCACCGCGUCCGGUCCUCGAGCGUAUGGGGCUUUGUCACCCGCUCUUGUAGGCCCGGCCGGCGCUUGCCGACACCCAACCAUUUUUUUCAGGUUGACCUCGGAUCAGGUAGGGAUACCCGCUGAACUUAAGCAUAUCAAUAAGCGGAGGA